AUAUAAAGCAUAACAUUCAUGUAAAACCACUAUGAAACAGUUUAAAUAUUUACAGUUGCUAUUAUUGAACUAUAUAAUACCACAAAAUGGAACAAAAAAUAUAUGAAUGAUGUAUAAAAGGCUCCUGGAGAAAUUAAGUCUUUUAUUGAUGGACUCCUAUGAUAGUUUGAUAGUUUGUAGAGCGUAUUUCCCGAUGCAUCCAGUAGGAGGCAUUAUUGUUGAAGUUUGCCGCCUGCUGCGUCAUUAUAUUAUUACUGAGAGAACGGCAACUGCGUACUUAUUUUUUCCCUGCCUGUUAUUUGGAUGUUUGUUGCCGUUUGGUGUUUCAAAGUGUUAGUUCAUGACCAUAAAACUACUAUUCAAUACACUUUGGAAAGAAGCUCCAGUCUCCUCAUUCUUUGUGUCCUGACGGACACCCCAGGAGUGUAUACUGCUGAUAGUUAGACCCAGAGCCUAGCAGUCUCCUUUCCUCUCCAACAAAUGAUGCAGUUUGAACAAUUAUUACAAUUAGUAACUUUUAUAGUAAAAAAAUAAAUAAAAAUAGCCAGAUACCUGGCUUUUGGACCUCUGUUCAUCAGUAGAUCAUUAGGUUCAAUUUAUCUCUUGUCUUUGUACAAAUGUAUGUAUGUCCUACAUAAAUGUAAACACAAAGCACAAAUAUAAGCACAAAAUAACUCUACAUGUCCAAAGUUCCCUGAAUGCUAUACACACACCUCUUCAGUCUUCAUGUCAUGACAUGCACGUAAUGAGAAUAAAUAAAAAAAUAAUGUAAACAAAAAUGAAAACACAUGUUAAUACCACAAAUGUUAAAAAGCAGAACAAAUCAUGUAUUACCUUGGCCUGAUAUUGAUACACCUAAAAAAAAAAAACCUUUUACUGCCUUCUCCAAUGCAUGAUCGAAAUGUUUGUUUCAUUUGACCUCGAUUAUUUGAGAGAUUCAAUGUUAAUAUUAAAUAGUUUGGUUGUCAAGGCACUACUGCAGUUGUUGAUCUAUCUAUAUGAAAACAAAAUAAA